UCAAGGACUGCAAACUUGUUUGGUGACUCUAUUAUCAUGUUUCAGAUGGUUUCAACAUCCAGCACAAGCAUAUGUGAAAAUACCGUUCUUUGGAUGCACUGCCCUGCUGGAUGCGAUGCUGUCAUUCUUAAACAAACUCUAACCGUGAACAAAAAAGUGAUGGAGAAGAUGACAAACAUGCCAAACUUGCAGCUUCAGCUUUCUCUGAUUGCCACAAGAUCUUCUCUUGUGAUUUGAUUUCAGUAACCGAGAAGCCGAAUGAGAACGAUGGCAACAAAAUGUUUUUGCCGCCGCUGAUGCCACCAAUAGAAAAUUUGGAUGGAUAUUGUGCAAUCAAGGAAAAGAUGACACAGGCGCUUCGCUAUUUCAAAGAAUGGACUGAACUGAAUAUUCUGGCUCAGGUUUGGGAACCGGUGAGGAAUGGUAUGAACUUACAACUUCAAGUCAACCCUUUGUGCUUGAUCCGCAUAGUAAUGGACUCAACCAGUAUAGAACGACUUCCUUGAUGUAUAAGUUUUCGGUGGAUGGAGAGAACGAUGGAACUCAAGGACUUCCUGGUCGAGUUUUCCAGCAAAAAUUACCAGAAUGGUCUCCUAAUGUUCUGUAUUAUUCUAGCAAAGAGUAUCCACGCCGAGAUCAUGCUCAACAUUAUAACAUUCGUGGAACGUUGGCUUUGCCUGUAUUUGAACCUUCGUUGCAGUCGUGUAUCGGUGUGAUAGAGUUGAUUAUGACUUCACUGAAGAUUAACUAUGCUCCUGAGGUUCAAAUAAUCUGCAAAGCCCUUGAGGUAGUAUGAUUAAUUAACUUGCAAAUUUCAUCAAGCCUUUGUGUGUGUAUAAAUAUAGUUAACAAGUUUUAUCCUUUUGUGAUUGACGCCAAACUAUUUGCUAUAGUUCAUCAUAAAUACUUGACUGGUCUUAUAGGGUAUUGUGAUGAUGGCACCAACAUGGCUCUAAUCUAUGAGUAUAUGGCUAAUGGAGAUUUAGCCAACCACUUGUCUGGUAUUGUUUAUAUGAUCAUGUCAGCCCAAAAACUGAGUCAAAGAUUUUAUCUACUUGUUUCAAUUGGAAAACAAUAUUUCUUUGUCACUCCAAACCAAAUGCAACAAUUAUAUGUCAUUUUCUUUCUUGGUUAAGCUUGUUUCAUGAAUGCAGAUAAAAAUAAAAAUAUACUGAGUUGGAAUCAACGACUUCAAAUUGCAGUUGAAGCAGCAGAAGUGUAGGAUUGGAGUAUCUGCAUCACGGCUGCAACCCACCAAUUGUUCACAGAGAUGUUAAAUCUAAAAACAUCUUACUAAAUGAAAAACUCCAAGACUUUGCUUGAGAAGAUGAAGUCGGUGUACACGAAUGUAGAAGGUCUUCCUCCGGAUCGAAUUGUGGAAAGCAAUUGCUUCUCCAGGGCGUGGUAUUUUGGCCAUGGAUGAAUCCAAUGCUAGAUGUGGAAAGCGGUUGGAUUCAAUUGGACUAGAGAACACCGAAGCUAACCGUCAAGUAUGGCGUAAAAUUAUAUAUGAAGAAAGUGUUAUGACUUGGUUAAAAUAUAAUUUUUAUGUGUAUGAUUUUAUAGUACUUGAAAUAUUAUGAAUGCACAUGAUUUUGUAUACUUUUUGGUUAAUAUUAAAAAUAUUUGACUUAGUUAAAAUA